ACCUCUUCAUUUGUCUGGAUAUUAGUUCCAAGAUAGAUCUCCCCAAACGACCCGCUACCGAUCUUCCGACCAAGCCGAAACUUAUUACCAACGCGCGGCUCCAUCAAUACAACCCAGAAAAACUCAAAAAUCGAAACCCACUAGCUACAAUACAAACCCUAACGAACACCUCCCUAAAAAAUUUCCAAAAAUACGAAAAAACAAAGGACACUGUACACCGAAGCAACCGCACCGACAAAUCGGAAAAUGUCGCACGGAAACGAGGAAACCAAAGCAGGUAAAAAAAAGGAGAGAAGAGGGAAUUGAGAUCUAGUAUUUCGUGGCUUUCUGAAGAUUAGAGAAUCAAGAAAAAGAAAAAAAUUCCUAAUGUAGGGUUAGGUUAAUUACAGAUAAAAUGAUUAAAACAAAUUACAAGCAUAAGGUAUCUCCUGGUAUUAUCAUCUUUUAUAUCUCUACAGAAACUCAACUUUUUCCUCUCUCUUUCUUUUCUCGCAUUGUUAAUCUGAUGGAAUCGAAGCAAAAGACUUC
rnacentral:misc_RNA from 1 species